GACGAACGCUGGCGGCGUGCUUAACACAUGCAAGUCGUACGGUAAGGCCCUUUCGGGGGUACCCGAGUGGCGCACGGGGGAGUAACACGUGAGUAACCUGCCCACAACUUUGGGAUAACGCUAGGAAACUGGUGCUAAUACUGGAUAUGUGCUCCUGCUGCAUGGUGGGGGUUGGAAAGCUCCGGCGGUUGUGGAUGGACUCGCGGCCUAUCAGCUUGUUGGUGGGGUAGUGGCCUACCAAGGCGGCGACGGGUAGCCGGCCUGAGAGGGUGACCGGCCACAUUGGGACUGAGAGACGGCCCAGACGCCUACGGGAGGCAGCAGGGGGGAAUAUUGCACAAUGGGCGCAAGCCGGAUGCAGCAACGCCGCGGGCGGGAUGACGGCCUUCGGGUUGUAAACCGCCUUCAGCAGGGACGAAGCUUUUUGUGACGGUACCUGCAGAAGAAGCACCGGCUAACUACGUG
rnacentral:rRNA from 1 species